rnacentral:rRNA from 2 species
AUGAAGACCGCAGCUAAAUGCGCGUCAGAAUGUGAACUGCAGGACACAUGAACACCGACACGUUGAACGCAUAUUGCACAUCGUACUACAGUACGAUGUACACAUUUUUGAGUGCCUAUA